rnacentral:rRNA from 1 species
GGCGAACGGGUGAGUAACACGUGGGUGAUCUGCCCUGCACUUCGGGAUAAGCCUGGGAAACUGGGUCUAAUACCGGAUAGGACGACAUUUUGGAUGGUGUGGUGGAAAGUUUUUCGGUGUGGGAUGAGCUCGCGGCCUAUCAGCUUGUUGGUGGGGUAAUGGCCUACCAAGGCGACGACGGGUAGCCGGCCUGAGAGGGUGGACGGCCACAUUGGGACUGAGAUACGGCCCAG